AAAACUGGAUUAUUUUUCCUUAUGAUGAAAUAAAAUUUUGUUCACUAGAGAGACACUGUAAAGAUGUUUGAUUCUUUUGAAGCCUAGAAAAAUCAAUUCAUCUAAGAACAUUAAAGCAUAAAGUUUAUUAAAUAAAAAUAUACUGAGAGGUUGGGAAGGGGCUCUUUUACUUCACUGGCUUCAUAUCCUUAAUAAAAACAAAAUAGACACUUGAAACCUCUAAGACGCAACUGGAAUUUGCAUUAGACUGCUUAGAAGCUUGGAAGACUAUGACAGGAUUGCUCCCUAAAUCAGUGAAAUCAAAACAAGAAAAGUUACACAAAAUAAUAAUUUUUUCUAAUAACAUAUGCUAUUUCCUCAGAAAUGAUUAUUACCUUUCUCUUUUCAGCAUGUUGUGAGAAUAGCAUGUUUAUUUUGGGUUUUGAGUCUAAAAAGACAUUUGAUACCAAAAUAAAAAGUGCUGUAUAUUUAUAUUACCAAUAGUCUUUCCCCCCAAAUAUAAAAUUUUUUUAGAAAUAUAAAAUUAUUUGAGGUAUUCCCAGCAUUAUUGCUUUUCUGGAAUUAAGUAGGUUUCUUUAAUUUGUUUUUCUCCUUUGCACUCAGACCUUGGCAAAAAACAAACCCUCCUACACUUGCUCAUCCAUUUUAACUCCAUAACAUUCCAGUCACUGUUUCUAGGAAAAGGUUAAAAUUAAGACUAAUGUAUUUCCUGCUGACCACCAUGUUGGUACUGCUACAGCUGAAUUCUGUGCCAAUUUCUUUUGCCAUCUGUUCUCAGCAUGGAUAAGUUGAAAUUCAUUUGAAAGAGAAACAAAAUUAAUGUUUCAUCUGACUUCUUUCCCAAGAAGCGUGGCUUUCCCAAUUAGUCUUUGCUGGAGAAUAGUUUGACAUGGAAAUAUCAUGCAACAAAUUUUUAAAAUCUUGAUUUUGGGGUAUUUCAUUCUAGGCUUCUCUAUAAUUUUUAAAAAGUAGCAAAAACAUUACUUUUUGUUUUGUAGCCUGUUUUAUUUCUCUAAUAUUUUAAGUAUUCUUCCCAUGAUAUUAUAUCCAUCCAUUCCCUCCAAUUCAAAGGGUGAUUGUGCUUACUGUAUACGAGUUGGAAAAUAAAGAAAAAAGUUUAAAAUUAGCCAUAAUCCCUCUACUUUUAACAGUGUGAACCUGUUCCUCUUCUUCCUCGUCCCCCAUGUAUACAUAGUAUAUAUACACAUAUACUUUUGUAUAUAAAACAUAUAUAUGCACAUUUUAAAAAUAGGAUUAUGUUUUUGCUAACAUUUUAGUGAAUAUAAAUUUUAAGUUUUUGAUCCAUAGUUCUGUUUGAUACAACAUUCAAGAUUAUCAGAAAACCUAUUUCAAGGACAUACUAGAAUCUGCUUGAUGAGGCUUAUUUCUCUUAACCAUAAAAUUGAUAAGUUCCUUAACUCUUACUUUACAAAGGUAAGAGGUUGCUUACAAAGUAGAAAGAGACAGAGUUCCUGCUGUGGCACAGUGGGUUAAGAAUCCAACCGCAGCAGCCUCAGGCCGGUGGCUACAGCUCCGAUUCAACCCCUAGCCUGGGAACCUCCAUAUGCCGCGGGAGCGGCCCAAGAAAUAGCAACAACAACAACAAAAGACAAAAAAAAAAAAAAAUAAUAAUAAUUUUAAGGAGGAGUUCUCAUCGUGGCUCAGUGGAAACAAAUCUGACUAGUAGCCAUGAGGACACAGGUUCAAUCCCUGACCUCGCUUGGGGGUUAAGGAUCUGGCAUUGCCGUGAGCUGUGGUGUAGGUGACAGAUGUGGCUCGGAUCCCUCGUUGCUGUGGCUGUGGUAUAGGCUUGUGGCUAAAGCUCCAAUUAGACCCUUAGCCUGGGAACCUCCAUAUGCCGUUCGUGCAGCCCUAAAAAGACUGCUUUUAAAUUUAUAUCCUCAUUUGAUUAGUUUUUUUUCUUCUUUUGUUGUGUUCCUUAAAGGUAAGCAGUAAGCAGAUAUAUUUACCUGGGAAACUGACUUAUCAUAGUUGUUUUUAAAUAGUUUUAAGAGUCCCAAGAAGUUUCUUUUAGCAAAAUUAAGUGCUGAACUGAGAUGAUUUAGCUAGGGUUUAAAGACUGUUCAUUUUAAUAGAAUCCUAGCAUUGGAAGAAGAAAAUCUUGUGUAUCAUUUACAAGAACUGUAGUAAUAAAGGCCCACUCAGUUUCUUCUUAAUUGUGGCCAGCUUUUGGUUUUGACAGGCUUUUUUAAAAAAACAACACCCUUGAGUUCCAUUAGGGGCUUAAUGGGUUAUGAACCUGACUAGUAUCCACAAGAUUGUGGGUUCAGUCCCUGUUCUCACUCAGUGGGUUAAGAAGUUGUGGUGAGCUGUGGCAUAGGUCACAGACAUGGCUUGGAUCCUGAGUUGCUGUGGCGUAGGCUGGCACAUGCUGCUCUGAUUCGAUUCAUAGCCUGGGAACUUCCAUAUGCCUCAGGUGCAGCCCUAAAAAG
rnacentral:lncRNA from 1 species